rnacentral:rRNA from 1 species
GUGGGGAAUCUUGCGCAAUGGGCGAAAGCCUGACGCAGCCAUGCCGCGUGAAUGAUGAAGGUCUUAGGAUUGUAAAAUUCUUUCACCGGGGACGAUAAUGACGGUACCCGGAGAAGAAGCCCCGGCUAACUUCGUGCCAGCAGCCGCGGUAAUACGAAGGGGGCUAGCGUUGUUCGGAAUUACUGGGCGUAAAGCGCACGUAGGCGGAUAUUUAAGUCAGGGGUGAACUCCCGGGGCUCAACCCCGGAACUGCCUUUGAUACUGGGUGUCUGGAGUAUGGAAGAGGUAAGUGGAAUUCCGAGUGUAGAGGUGAAAUUCGUAGAUAUUCGGAGGAACACCAGUGGCGAAGGCGGCUUACUGGUCCAUUACUGACGCUGAGGUGCGAAAGCGUGGGGAGCAAACAGGAUUAGAAACCCUGGUAGUCC